GCCUUGUACACACCGCCCGUCACACSAUGAGAGUUUGUAACACCCAAAGUCGGUGGGGUAACCUUUUAGGAACCAGCCGCCUAAGGUGGGACAGAUGAUUAGGGUGAAGUCGUAACAAGGUAGCCGUAGGAGAACCUGCGGCUGGAUCACCUCCUUUCUAAGGAA
rnacentral:rRNA from 1 species